rnacentral:rRNA from 1 species
AUUGAACGCUGGCGGCAGGCCUAACACAUGCAAGUCGAGCGGAUGAAGGGAGCUUGCUCCUGGAUUCAGCGGCGGACGGGUGAGUAAUGCCUAGGAAUCUGCCUGGUAGUGGGGGAUAACGUCCGGAAACGGGCGCUAAUACCGCAUACGUCCUGAGGGAGAAAGUGGGGGAUCUUCGGACCUCACGCUAUCAGAUGAGCCUAGGUCGGAUUAGCUAGUUGGUGGGGUAAAGGCUUACCAAGGCGACGAUCCGUAACUGGUCUGAGAGGAUGAUCAGUCACACUGGAACUGAGACACGGUCCAGACUCCUACGGGAGGCAGCAGUGGGGAAUAUUGGACGAAGGGCGAAAGCCUGAUCCAGCCAUGCCGCGUGUGUGAAGAAGGUCUUCGGAUUGUAAAGCACUUUAAGUUGGGAGGAAGGGCAGUAAGUUAAUACCUUGCUGUUUUGACGUUACCAACAGAAUAAGCACCGGCUAACUUCGUG